UACGUAGGGUGCAAGCGUUUGUCCGGAAUUAUUGGGCGUAAAGAGCUCGUAGGCGGUUCGUCACGUCGGCUGUGAAAUCCCGAGGCUCAACCUCGGGUCUGCAGUCGAUACGGGCGGACUGGAGUACUGCAGGGGAGACUGGAAUUCCUGGUGUAGCGGUGAAAUGCGCAGAUAUCAGGAGGAACACCGGUGGCGAAGGCGGGUCUCUGGGCCGAUACUGACGCUGAGGAGCGAAAGCGUGGGGAGCAAACAGG
rnacentral:rRNA from 1 species